CAGCAGCCGCGGGAAUACGAGGGGGGCAAGCGUUGUUCGGAAUUAUUGGGCGUAAAGCGUGCGCAGGCGGUUCGCUAAGACAGAUGUGAAAUCCCCGGGCUUAACCUGGGAACUGCAUUUGUGACAGGCGGGCUAGAGUAUGGCAGAGGGGGGUAGAAUUCCACGUGUAGCAGUGAAAUGCGUUGAGAUCGGAAAGAACACCAACGGCGAAAGCACUCUGCUGGGCCGACACUGACACUGAGAGACGAAAGCUAGGGGAGCAAAUGGGAUUAGAUACCCCAGUAGUCCCUGUCUCUUAUAC
rnacentral:rRNA from 1 species